GUGGCUCAGUGGUAGAGUACAUGCCUGGCAUGCAUGAAGCCCUGGGUUUUACCCCCAGC
rnacentral:tRNA from 1 species